GGGGGGGGGGGGGGGGGGGCGGGGGGGGUGGGGGUCGGGCGGGGGGGGGGGGCGGGCGCCGGGAUGCAGCGGCGGGCGGGGGAGUAAGGCCUGGGAAUCGGCCUGGGAGGGGGGGAGAGCGUCCGGGAACGGGCGCUAAUACCGCCUACGUCCUGAGGGAGAAGGUGGGGGAUCUUCGGACCUCACGCGAUGAGCGGAGCCUAGGUCGGAUUAGCUAGUUGGUGGGGUAAAGGCCUACCAAGGCGACGAUCCGUAACUGGUCUGAGAGGCUGAUCAGUCACACUGGAACUGAGACACGGUCCAGACUCCUACGGGAGGCAGCAGUGGGGAAUAUUGGACAAUGGGCGAAAGCCUGAUCCAGCCAUGCCGCGUGUGUGAAGAAGGUCUUCGGAUUGUAAAGCACUUUAAGUUGGGAGGAAGGGCAGUAAGUUAAUACCUUGCUGUUUUGACGUUACCAACAGAAUAAGCACCGGCUAACUUCGUG
rnacentral:rRNA from 1 species